rnacentral:rRNA from 1 species
AGUGGUGAUCGUGAUUAUUGGGUCUAAAGGGUCCGUAGCCGGUUUGGUCAGUCCUCCGGGAAAUCUGAUAGCUCAACUAUUAGGCUUUCGGGGGAUACUGCCAGACUUGGAACCGGGAGAGGUAAGAGGUACUACAGGGGUAGGAGUGAAAUCUUGUAAUCCCUGUGGGACCACCUGUGGCGAAGGCGUCUUACCAGAACGGGUUCGACGGUGAGGGACGAAAGCUGGGGGCACGAACCGGAUUAGAUACCCGGGUAGUCCCAGCCGUAAACGAUGCUCGCUAGGUGUCAGGCAUGGCGCGACCGUGUCUGGUGCCGCAGGGAAGCCGUGAAGCGAGCCACCUGGGAAGUACGGCCGCAAGGCUGAAACUUAAAGGAAUUGGCGGGGGAGCACAACAACGGGUGGAGCCCUGCGGUUUAAUUGGACUCAACGCCGGACAACUCACCGGGGGCGACAGCAAUAUGUAGGCCAAGCUGAAGACUUUGCCUGAAUCGCUGAGAAGUGGUGCAUGG